rnacentral:rRNA from 1 species
UACGGAGGGUGCGAGCGUUGUUCGGAAUUAUUGGGCGUAAAGCGCGUGUAGGCGGUUUGUUAAGUCUGAUGUGAAAGCCCCGGGCUCAACCUGGGAAGUGCAUUGGAUACUGGAAGGCUUGAGUAUGGGAGAGGAGAGUGGAAUUCCUGGUGUAGCGGUGAAAUGCGUAGAUAUCAGGAGGAGCACCGGUGGCGAAGGCGGCUCUCUGGACCACAACUGACGCUGAGGCGCGAAAGCUAGGGGAGCAAACAGG